rnacentral:rRNA from 1 species
AGCCGGGUAGCCGCGUACGGAUGUAAUAAACGCUGAAGGCAUCUAAGCGUGAAGUACACCUCAAGAUGAGAUAUCCCAUCAUUUUAAAUGAGUAAGGUCGCUCGUAGACUACGAGAUUGAUAGGUCGCAGAUGUAAGUGCAGUAAUGUAUUCAGUUGAGCGAUACUAAUUGACCGAGGGCUUGAACUG